rnacentral:piRNA from 1 species
UACUCGGUGUACGUACGAAGUGAAUGGGUC